UACAGAGGUCCCAAGCGUUGUUCGGAUUCACUGGGCGUAAAGGGUGCGUAGGCGGUUGGGUAAGUCUGUCGUGAAAUCUCCGAGCCUAACUCGGGAACUGCGUCGGAUACUAUUCAACUCGAGGAAUGGAGGGGAGACUGGAAUUCUCGGUGUAGCAGUGAAAUGCGUAGAUAUCGAGAGGAACACCAGUGGCGAAGGCGAGUCUCCGGACAUUUCCUGACGCUGAGGCACGAAAGCCAGGGGAGCAAACGGG
rnacentral:rRNA from 1 species